CCCGAUACUCAGGGAUAGCCUUCCGAAAGGGAGAUUAAUACCCGAUGGCGUGGUCACUCCGCAUGGAGUUUCCACUAAAGGUUUUCCGGCCGCGGAUGAGGAUGCGUAUGAUUAGGUAGUAGGCGGGGUAACGGCCCACCUAGCCUUCGAUCAUUAGGGGUUCUGAGAGGAAGGUCCCCCACACUGGAACUGAGACACGGUCCAGACUCCUACGGGAGGCAGCAGUGAGGAAUAUUGGUCAAUGGGCGAGAGCCUGAACCAGCCAAGUCGCGUGAGGGAUGACGGUACUAAGUAUUGUAAACCUCUUUUGUCAGGGAACAAAGAGACCACGUGUGGUAAGAUGAGUGUACCUGAAGAAAAAGCAUCGGCUAACUCCGUG
rnacentral:rRNA from 1 species